rnacentral:rRNA from 1 species
AUACGUAGGUGGCAACCGUUGUCCGGAUUUACUGGGUGUAAAGGGCGUGUAGGCGGAGAUGCAAGUCAGGAGUGAAAUCUAGGGGCUCAACCCCUAAACUGCUUUUGAAACUGUAUCCCUUGAGUAUCGGAGAGGCAGGCGGAAUUCCUAGUGUAGCGGUGAAAUGCGUAGAUAUUAGGAGGAACACCAGUGGCGAAGGCGGCCUGCUGGACGACAACUGACGCUGAGGCGCGAAAGCGUGGGGAGCAAACAGGAUUAGAUACCCUGGUAGUCCACGCUGUAAACGAUGAAUACUAGGUGUGGGGGGACUGACCCCCUCCGUGCCGCAGUUAACACAAUAAGUAUUCCACCUGGGGAGUACGAUCGCAAGAUUGAAACUCAAAUGAAUUGACGGGG